UUUCUACGAUGUUCGCUAUCCUAGAUAAUUCAACCGACAUAGUAUUCAACGGGAGUCUGUUGUUCAAUAGCGUAUGACAUGCCUUUUUAAAAGGAAGUCAAAAGUUAUUGACAGGACACCCACCUUGUAAGAGGCGGGUGUGAAUUAAAUAGGAAGACGGCAUUGUGGGAA
rnacentral:other from 1 species